UACGGAGGGCGCGAGCGUUGUCCGGAAUCACUGGGCGUAAAGGGCGCGUAGGCGGCCUGGUAAGUAGGGGGUGAAAUCCUGCGGCUUAACCGCAGGGCUGCCUUCUAAACUGUCAGGCUCGAGCACAGUAGAGGCAGGUGGAAUUCCCGGUGUAGCGGUGGAAUGCGUAGAGAUCGGGAAGAACAUCAGUGGCGAAGGCGGCCUGCUGGGCUGUUGCUGACGCUGAGGCGCGAAAGCGUGGGGAGCAAACAGG
rnacentral:rRNA from 1 species